rnacentral:rRNA from 1 species
UGAAUUGAGGGCCCCGCACAAGCAGCGGAGCGUGUGGUUUAAUUCGAUGUUACACGAAGAACUUACCAGGGUUUGACAUGCAAGUGGUAGGAACCGAAAGGUGACCGACCCUUCGGGAGCUUGCACAGGUGCUGCAUGGCUGUCGUCAGCUCGUGUCGUGAGAUGUUCGGCUAAGUCCGCUAACGAGCGCAACCCUCGCUGUGUGUUACAAGUGUCACACGGAACUGCCGGUCAUAAACCGGAGGAAGGUGGGGAUGACGCCAAGUCAGCAUGGCCUUUAUAUCCUGGGCUACACACACGCUACAAUGGGAAGGGACAAUAGGUUGCGAAGCCGCGAGGCGGAGCCAAUCCAGCAAAACUUCCCUCAGUUCAGAUUGCAGGCUGCAACUCGCCUGCAUGAAGUUGGAGUUGCUAGUAAACGCAGGUCAGCCAUACUGCGUUGAAUACGUUCCCGGGGCUU